AGCAGACAGGAAGCAAAGUGGACAGGAAGCUGAGAGCAGACAGGAAGCAGAGUGGACAGGAAGCAGAGGAGACAGGAAGCAGAGUGGACAGGAAGCUGAGAGCAGACAGGAAGCAGAGUGGACAAGAAGCUGAGAGCAGACAGGAAGCAAAGUGGACAGGAAGCUGAGAGCAGACAGGAAGCAGAGAGUGGACAGGAAGCUGAGAGCAGACAGGAAGCAGAGUGGACAGGAAGCAGAGUGGACAGGAAACAGAGGAGACAGGAAGCAGAGUGGACAGGAAGCUGAGAGCAGACAGGAAGCAGAGCAGACAGGAAGCAGAGUAUACAGGAAGCAGAGAAAAUAGGAAGCAGGGAGCAGACAUGAAGCUGAGAGUGAAUAGAAAGCAUGGCCAGUAACUCAUUUCAAACAUUCAGACCAUACUAGAUGACAAAAAAACCUGCAAAGUCUGGAUAAGGAGUUGGAACUUUAUUGACUGCAUCCUGUGGGUAAAAUGACAUCAGUGGAAAACACAGCAAAAAGACAUUUUAAUAAAAGAAAAGGUAAGACACCUGAGGACUGAGAACUGUUGAUGCUGGUGAAGGCUUGGAGGAAAAUAUGAACUCAGGAUGAACUUUGGACAUUUCCACUUGCUUUGUUACCAAACCACAGACAACUAUAUACAUCUCAUUUAUUCUCAGAGCAAAGGAUGGAGUUCUUUUUGCUGGGGGUUUCCAGUGGUACAGGACCAAUCAUCUAAGUCACUUCCUCCCCUGAUUUGAAUUAGAGACAGAUCCUGUGAGCCACAAUAAGUGCUAAGCUAGCCUGAAGGAUUGAUGCUGCCAUUCACACUGCAGAAGGGGGAGUCUUCUUGGGUGGGUCCUUACUCAUUUCUUUUGACGUUCAGAAGUAUAGUCAGCAAAACUACCAAGUCUUUUUGAGUGCCAUCUUAAGUUUUCAUGCCCAGCUAUCUGAACUUUAGAACAAACAUUCUUAAACAUCUUUACACUCUCAAUAAACAAAAAUUUCUUUGCAUGUA